rnacentral:rRNA from 1 species
AUUGAACGCUGGCGGCAGGCCUAACACAUGCAAGUCGAGCGGAUGAGUGGAGCUUGCUCCAUGAUUCAGCGGCGGACGGGUGAGUAAUGCCUAGGAAUCUGCCUGGUAGUGAGGGACAACGUUUCGAAAGGAACGCUAAUACCGCAUACGUCCUACGGGAGAAAGUGGGGGAUCUUCGGACCUCACGCUAUCAGAUGAGCCUAGGUCGGAUUAGCUAGUUGGUGAGGUAAAGGCUCAGCAAGGCGACGAUCCGUAACUGGUCUGAGAGGAUGAUCAGUCACAAUGGAACUGAGACACGGUCCAGACUCCUACGGGAGGCAGCAGUGGGGAAUAUUGGACAAUGGGCGAAAGCCUGAUCCAGCCAUGCCGCGUGUGUGAAGAAGGUCUUCGGAUUGUAAAGCACUUUAAGUUGGGAGGAAGGGCAGUAAGUUAAUACCUUGCUGUUUUGACGUUACCAACAGAAUAAGCACCGGCUAACUUCGUGCCAGCAGCCGCGGUAAUAC